UACAGAGGGUGCGAGCGUUGUCCGGAUUUAUUGGGCGUAAAGAGUUUGUAGGCGGUUAAUCAAGUCAGAAGUGAAAGAAUGGGGCUUAACUCCAUCCACGCUUUUGAAACUGAUUAACUAGAGAAAUCUAGAGGUAAGUGGAAUUUCCAGUGUAGCGGUGAAAUGCGUAGAUAUUGGAAGGAACAUCAGAGGCGAAGGCGACUUACUGGGGAUUUUCUGACGCUGAGAAACGAAAGCUAGGGUAGCGAAA
rnacentral:rRNA from 1 species